GGUUACUUGGGACUGGACGGGGCCAUGUUGGAUAUAUUAAUGAGGGGAUGUGGUCAAUUAGGAUGGGGGCGGGGCGUAUUGAAUAUGCUAAUGAUGUGGACGUGGUCACUUCCGGUGGGAGAUAGAAAUGUUAAUGAGAGGGCGUGGUUAAUUGGGAUAGGUGCGGGGACAUACUGAAUAUGUUAAUGAUGUGGGCAGGGUCACUUCCGGUGGGAGGCAGAUAUGUUAAUAGGGGGGCGUGGUUAAUUAGGAUGGGGCGGGGACAUAUUGGGUACGUUAAUGAGGGGGCGUGGUCUCAUUGAGCGGGGCGGGGGCAUAUUGCAUAUGCUAAUGAGGGGGGCGUGGUCACUUGGGGUGUGGAGAGGGGCGUGGCCAAUGAGUAUGGGUUAUGCUAAUGAGGAGGGGGGCGUGGUCACUGUAAGAGGGGGCGUGGCUUCCUCGUGACCACGUCCAAUCAUCUCAGCCCCUGCGGAGAAGCCCCGCCCCCCCGAGCUGGAGCCGACCUAUCAGGAGCUUCGAGGCGCCCGCGGGGACAUUUACAGCAGCCUGACCCAAUAAAGGCCGAUUUCAACCCAAAAAUUUCCUCCUUUUUUGCCUCAUUUCUCAUCAUCUCAGCCCCAUUUCCCCCUUUUUUGACUCAUUUCCCCCUUUUUUGCCUCAUUUCCCCCUUUUUUUGCCUUGUUUUCCCCUAUUUUUGCCUUAUUUCCCCCUUUUUUACUUAAUUUUCCCCUCUUUUUGCCUUGUUUUCCCCCUUUUUUGCCUUAUUUCUCCCCAUUUUCUGCUUCGUUUCCCCAUUUUUACCCUGUUUUCUCCCUUUGUUGCCACAUUUUCUCCUUUUAUUGCCUCAUUUCCCCCCAUUUUCUGCUUCAUUUCCUUUUUUUUGCCCCAUUUCUCCCCAUUUUCUGCUUCAUUUCUCUCCAUUUUCUGCUUCAUUUCCCCCUUUUUUGCCUCAUUUUCCCAUUUUUGCCUCAUUUCUCCCCAUUUUCUGCUUCAUUCCCCCUUUUUACGCCCUUUUCUCCCUUUUUUGCCCCAUUUCCCCCUUUUUUGCCUCAUUUUCCCAUUUUUGCCUCAUUUCUCCCCAUUUUCUGCUUCAUUCCCCCUUUUUACGCCCUUUUCUCCCUUUUUUGCCCCAUUUCCCCCUUUUUUGCCUCAUUUUCCCAUUUUUGCCUCAUUUCUCCCCAUUUUCUGCUUCAUUCCCCCUUUUUACGCCCUUUUCUCCCUUUUUUGCCCCAUUUCCCCCUUUUUUGCCUCAUUUUCCCAUUUUUGCCUCAUUUCUCCCCAUUUUCUGCUUCAUUCCCCCUUUUUACGCCCUUUUCUCCCUUUUUUGCCCCAUUUCCCCCUUUUUUGCCUCAUUUUCCCAUUUUUGCCUCAUUUCCCCCUUUUUCUGCCUCGUUUUCCCCUAUUUUUGCCCCAUUUCCCUCUUUCUUGUCUCAUUUUCCCCUUUUUUUGCCUCGUUUUCCCCCAUUUUUGCCUCGUUUCCCCCCAUUUUCUGCUUCGUUUUCCCCUUUUCUGCCUCAAUUUCCCUUUUUUUUUGCUUCAUUUCUCCCCAUUUUCUGCUUCAUUCCCCCUUUUUACGCCCUUUUCUCCCUUUUUUGCCCCAUUUCCCCCUUUUUUGCCUCAUUUCCCCCUUUUUCUGCCUCGUUUUCCCCUAUUUUUGCCCCAUUUCCCUCUUUCUUGUCUCAUUUUCCCCCUUUUUUACCUCGUUUUCCCACUUUUUUGCCUCAUUUCCCCCUUUUUCUGCCUCGUUUUCCCCUAUUUUUGCCCCAUUUCCCUCUUUCUUGUCUCAUUUUCCCCCUUUUUUACCUCGUUUUCCCACUUUUUUGCCUCAUUUCCCCCUUUGUUUGCCCCCAUUUCCCUCUUUUUUGCCCCAUUUCCCCCCAUUUUCUGCUUCAUUUUCCUCUUUUUGCCUCAAUUUCCCCAUUUUUUGCCUCAUUUUCCCCUUUUUCCGCCUCGUUUUCCCCUAUUUUUGCCCCAUUUCCCUCUUUUUUGUCUCAUUUUCCCCCUUUUUUGUCCCAUUUUCCCCUUUUUUUGCCACAUUUUCCCCUUUUUUGCCUCUUUCCCCCCCAUUUUUGCCUCAUUUCUCCCCCUUUUUUUGCCUCAUUUCCCCAUUUUUGCCUCAUUUCUCUCAUUUUCUGCUUUACUUCCCCCUGUUUUUUGCCUCAAUUUCCCUUUUUUUGAUCCACUCCCCUCUUUUUUCCUUAUUUCUCCCCAUUUUCUACUUCAUUUCCCCCUUUUUUGCCCCCAUUUCCCCCUUUUUUGCCCCAUUUCUCACCAUUUUCUGCUUCAUUUCCCCCCUUUUUUUGUCUCAAUUUCCAUUUCUCCCCAUUUUCUUCUUCAUUUCCCCCCUUUUUUUGUCUCAAUUUCCUUUUUUUGAUCUGUUUUCCCCCUUUUUUGCCUCAUUUCUCCCUAUUUUCUCCUUCAUUUCUCCCUUUUUUAUCCCCCUUUCCCCCUUUUUUUGCCCCAUUUCCCCCCUUUUUUGCCUCAUUUCUCCCCUUUUCUGCUUCAUUUCCCCCUUUUUUNNNNNNNNNNNNNNNNNNNNNNNNNNNNNNNNNNNNNN
rnacentral:lncRNA from 1 species